rnacentral:misc_RNA from 1 species
AAGUCGUAACAAGGUUUUCGUAGGUGAACCUGCGGAAGGAUCAUUAACACGAGUUUACUCGUAUUAUUUAACAACCGGUCAUUUGUGACGCCCUCUUUUGCUGGACCCGUAGUGGUGGCGCUUCGGCGCCGGGAUUUCUUGACGAGACGCUCGUCGAGGACUGGCAGAUGUAGGUCGUGGAUAAAUAAACCGGGUGCGGCUGGAGUCACUCCUGGCCGCGUCCAUGGCUGCUACGGGCCCCUAAACAGGCUCCGCGUAGUCGAAUAACUUUUAACCCAAACAACGAAUUACGUAUUCUUCGAAAGGGCUUCUUCGGAAGUCUCAUUAGAAAACUUUGAACAACUCUUAGCAGUGGAUAUCUCGGCUCUC